rnacentral:lncRNA from 10 species
CCAUGGUGGAGGAACUUGUCCUCCCAUUUGCCACAGUAUAAACGUUUAGUAUGCCAAUAAAAAGAGGCUGUGGUGAAUCCCAACACACACACCAGGCUUCACACAGCACACCAAACUCAGUGCACCUGAGAGAAUCCAUGGUCUUGACUCUUCAUCGUCUAGGGAAGUAACUGAGACUCAGGGCAGAGAAGUGAACAUAAAUUUCAUCAUAUGAAAACUGAAAAGGCACUUCAAAACGUAAGUGGGGAUCAAAGCUCUGCACACCAAAACUUGUUUAUUAGUCAAGAAACAACAACUGCAGGCCGGAUGCACUGGCUCAUGCCUGCAAUCCCAGCACUUUGGGAGGCCAAGGUGGGUGGAUCUUUUGAACCCAGGAGUUUGAGAAUAGCCAGGCAACAUGGUGAAAACCCAUCGCUACAAAAAAUUAGCCAGGCAUGGUGGCGUGCACCUGUAGUCCCAGCUACUUAGGAGGCUGAGGUGAGAUGAUCACUUGAGCCCAGGAGGUUGAGGCUGCAAUGAGCCAAGAUCAUGCCACUGCACUCCAGCCUGGGUGACAGUGCAAGACCCUUUCUCAAGACCCUGUGGUCCAAUUACAGAUAGCAAGCUUCUUUUUCUCUGAUACCCACAGCUCCUACUUGGCUUCAUAUGAUGUUUUCUAAAUUGAUACACACACGGCAAAGAAUACAUUCCAUAGUGUAGGAAAUAUAACUGGUAUAUGAAUAUCAAGUGCAGGAUCUCACCAAGAUUAUUGUUUAGGAUGAGCCUAUAGUUUACACAUCACUGAUAGUCCAUCUUUUAUACUCUGUUUUUUAACUUUAAUUUUAGAAUUCAGAAAUAGCCAUGAACCUUCCAUAGAGUCAACCUUGCACAUUGAAAGCAAAUUUUACAUGCCGCUGUAUUCACAGAAAAGAUUUGGAUACUCUGGAUAUGUAUAAAGGUUUACGAGAAAAAAUUUCUAAAGCUUUAAAGGCUGUCAGUCUCUUUAGUGUCAAGCCACUGAUUUCUUUACCUUUUUUUUUUAACUUUUUAAAGAAAUGAAGCUCAUUGGCUUUCACUCAGUAAUGUUCUCACUCCUCUAUUUGUUUUGCAAGGAACUUCAAGUCUCUUCUGUAUGUAAUCUUCAAUCUGCCAAAUUGUAUGCAUGACUUGUGUUGGUGUUAAAAGAUAAUUGCUCAUUUGAACAUUCUAAAUCUAGCCUUCCAUGGCAAGUUUACAUUCCUCAUGCAAGAUAAAGUGAAUGGGGAGAUCAUAAAACUGGAGCUAUAAGGAACACUGUUUGAUCAUGGUAAGAUCGGUUUUGUUACUUAAUUACUUUGUUUAAAUUCAUCUGAAGAACCAGUUGUAAAUAUUUUAAACCUUAUUAAAGAAACACUUGAAAAAAGGGCCUCAGAUUUCUGCUUCCGGUCGUAAAAGAGAUUAAAUAUUCUGAAAGAUCCUGCCCCUCAAAAACAAGUAGAUCCUGGAUAAAUCAUCCUUUAUUUCAUUUCUGAAUUAGUAAGGACAAGGGGAAAUCUUCAAUAUCCUUCAAAAAAAACUUUUCAAAAGGCAAGACGGUGAGCAAUAAUAAAAGGGGGAAAUGGGCUGGCCUAAAGACAAAAGCUAAUAUCAGAGCUGUGUUAGCUGAACUAACUCUCGGGCUAGAAGCAAAUAGAGGAACUGUAUCUGAAAGUACUACUUUAAGCUAACAUUCUCAAAGGACACUAAAGUAUUCCAGGUCAGUAUUUCCCCUGUUUCCUAGCAAAAGCAAAGUGUUUUCUGGAGAAAAUUAUCCCCUAUGUAUUCCCACAGGAUUCUCACAGAUUAAAAGGAAACAAAUAUGAGCUCAAAACCAAAAUCAGCAAAUACACAUUGAAAGAAGUCACCCUUAUUACAAGUCACCAGUAACUACAAAUAGAUUUAAGCCCCUAAGCCAUUCAUAUUUUGGAAUUGUUGGAUACAGAAUAUAAAAUUGCAAUCUAUGAACUGUUUAAAUAAUGAAAGAUGUGUUCAUAAAAUGAUUGUUAAGAGACUGUCAAAAAUAUGCAGAUUUGAAAAAUAAAAACAAAAAGGACUUUUGGAAAUAAAUAUAAUAGUUGGAAAAGAAAGUUUAACAAAUAGUUUAAGUUGCAGAUUAGCUGUAGAUGAAGAAAGAACUGGUGAACUGGAUAAUAUAUCUGAAAGAAAUAUCCAGGAUCCAGUAUAGAGAAAAAAAGGAGGAAAUAUUAAGAUAGAUUAAAAGAUAUGGAAGAUAGAAUAAAAGGCUUUAAUAUAUAUCUAGUCAGAGUCCUUGAGAGGAGAAUAGAGAAAAUUGAGAGCUGCUAUAUUUGAGGAGAAAAUGAAUUUUUC